rnacentral:rRNA from 1 species
AUACGUAGGGAGCGAGCGUUGUCCGGAAUUACUGGGCGUAAAGGGCGCGUAGGCGGCGCUUCAAGUCGUCUGUCAAAUGGAAGGGCUUAACCCUUUUUCGCAGACGAAACUGGAGAGCUUGAGAAGCAGAGAGGCAAACAGAAUUCCUGGUGUAGCGGUGAAAUGCGUAGAUAUCAGGAAGAAUACCAGUGGCGAAGGCGGUUUGCUGGCUGCAUACUGACGCUGAAGCGCGAAAGCCAGGGGAGCAGACGGGAUUAGAUACCCCGGUAGUCCUGGCAGUAAACGAUGUAUGCUGGGUGUGAGACUAGCGAUAGUUUCGUGCCGAAGUUAACGCGAUAAGCAUACCGCCUGGGGAGUACGGUCGCAAGAUUGAAACUUAAAGGAAUUGACGGGG